rnacentral:rRNA from 1 species
CCUACGGGUGGCAGCAGUGAGGAAUAUUGGUCAAUGGGCGUAAGCCUGAACCAGCCAAGUCGCGUGAGGGAUGAAGGUUCUAUGGAUCGUAACCCUCUUUUAUAAGGGAAUAAAGUGUGGGACGUGUCCUAUUUUGUAUGUACCUUAUGAAUAAGGCUCGGCUAACUCCGUGCCAGCAGCCGCGGUAAUACGGAGGAUCCGAGCGUUAUCCGGAUUUAUUGGGUUUAAAGGGUGCGUAGGCGGCCUUUUAAGUCAGCGGUGAACGUCUGUGGCUCAACCAUAGAAUUGCCGUUGAAACUGGGGGGCUUGAGUAUGUUUGAGGCAGGCGGAAGGCGUGGUGUAGCGGUGAAAGGCUUAGAUAUCACGCAGAACCCCGAUUGCGAAGGCAGCCUGCCAAGCCAUGACUGACGCUGAUGCACGAAAGCGUGGGGAUCAAACAGGAUUAGAGACCCCUGUAGUC